rnacentral:rRNA from 1 species
UGCAGUCGUACGAGAGUUUUUAACUCAAGUGGCGGACGGGUGAGUAACACGUAAGAAUUUGCCUUUAGGAGGGGGACAACAACUGGAAACGGUUGCUAAUACCCCAUAUGCUUUCGAGUGAAACGGUUUUUCCGCCUAAAGAGAAGCUUGCGGCUGAUUAGCUUGUUGGUGAGGUAAUGGCUCACCAAGGCGACGAUCAGUAUCUGGUUUGAGAGGACGAUCAGACACACUGGAACUGAGACACGGUCCAGACUCCUACGGGAGGCAGCAGUGGGGAAUUUUCCGCAAUGGGCGAAAGCCUGACGGAGCAAUACCGCGUGAGGGAUGACGGCCUAUGGGUUGUAAACCUCUUUUUUCAGGGAGGAAUUAAUGACGUGUACCUGAGGAAUAAGCAUCGGCUAACUCCGUGCCAGCAGCCGCGGUAAGACGGAGGAUGCAAGUGUUAUCCGGAAUCACUGGGCGUAAAGCGUCUGUAGGUGGUCAAAUAAGUCAACUGUUAAAUCUUGAGGCUCAACCUCAAAAUCGCAGUCGAAACUAUUAGACUAGAGUAUAGUAGGGGUAAAGGGAAUUUCCAGUGGAGCGGUGAAAUGCGUAGAGAUUGGAAAGAACACCGAUGGCGAAGGCACUUUACUGGGCUAUUACUAACACUGAGAGACGAAAGCUAGGGUAGCAAAUGGGAUUAGAUACCCCAGUAGUCCUAGCCGUAAACAAUGAUACUAGAUGUUGAACAGAUCGACCUGUGCAGUAUCAAAGCUAACGCGUUAAGUAUCCCGCCUGGGAAGUAUGCUCGCAAGAGUGAAACUCAAAGGAUGACGGGGGCCCGCACAAGCGGUGGACAUGUGUUUAAUUCGAUGCAACGC